rnacentral:rRNA from 1 species
CUACCUAUCGGUUCGGAAUAACCCGGGGAAACUCGGGCUAAUACCGGAUAAGCCCUUCGGGGGAAAGAUUUAUCGCCGAAUGAUGGGCCCGCGUUGGAUUAGCUUGUUGGUGAGGUAACGGCUCACCAAGGCGACGAUCCAUAGCUGGUCUAAGAGGAUGAUCAGCCACACUGGGACUGAGACACGGCCCAGACUCCUACGGGAGGCAGCAGUGGGGAAUAUUGGACAAUGGGGGAAACCCUGAUCCAGCCAUGCCGCGUGAGUGAUGAAGGCCCUAGGGUUGUAAAGCUCUUUCGCCAGGGAUGAUAAUGACAGUACCUGGUAAAGAAGCCCCGGCUAACUUCGUGCCAGCAGCCGCGGUAUACGAAGGGGGCUAGCGUUGUUCGGAAUUACUGGGCGUAAAGCGCACGUAGGCGGGUCAUUAAGUCAGGGGUGAAAUCCCGGGGCUCGACCUCGGAAUUGCCUCUGAUACUGGUGGCCUUGAGUCCGAGAGAGGUGAGUGGAACUCCGAGUGUAGAGGUGAAAUUCGUAGAUAUUCGGAAGAACACCAGUGGCGAAGGCGGCUCACUGGCUCGGUACUGACGCUGAGGUGCGAAAGCGUGGGGAGCAAAGGGAUUAGAUACCCCUGUAGUC